AAGAAAUGUCUGCCAAAAAAAACUGGACAACCCCUAAGGUUACAUAUGGGCGACCCCGGUCACCAAGAUAAGAGCUAUCAACUCUCAGGGCUUCUCCAAGUGUAGUUCCACAGACACAAAAAUGUGCUGCCGGGAAAAUAGCACUACCAGCCCAAGCCCUGGACAUCCUACACACUAAUGUCUUCCAGACUGGAGCCUGCAUGAAUCAGCCAAAAACACCAGGGCGAUAAAUAGGACUAGAAGCCAUGAUUAUGAUAUGAAAGCUUUCUAUCCAUAGCUGGAAGAUGCUCCUUACACCAGAAAUCGAAGAUGGAAGCAGGUUUACUGGAAUCGGCUGGAGAUAAAUCAAUGUUCCUGGAUGGACUCAAGUGGAUCAUAUUCGUGCUGGUUACUUUGGGGAAUUUCUGGAUUGAGACUUGGCAUUAGUGUUGACAAAGUUACUUGCCACACUGAGGACUGAGGGUGGGGUCCACCUAGCCAUGGACUGUAAAGUUCUAAUCACUGGGUGCUUUUUACACAUGGAGGUUGACACUUGAGCUGUUGAUGAAGGUUGUUAAUUCUGCCUCAAAAAAAAAUUGUGGAUUGAAGAUGAUUUAUGUUAUUUUGCUUUACAGGCAGAAGUGCAAAUCAGUGCAAGCCUACUGAGCACGAGGUUGACCGCCACACCACACAAUGGGAGCUUUCUCUAUGUUCUAGAAUGGAGAGAAUAGUGCAGAGGCUUAUAGAAGCCAGAAGGGUCAAACUGCAAACUUUUACUGCAUUGUGCUGGGAAAUAGUUAAUGAUUUAAGGGCGAAUAUCUGAAUGUGUUAAUGUUUUAAUCAUUAAAAAAUGCCUAUAUACAGGAGUAGAUGAUUAGAUAGAUAUAUUAGAUAGAUAAAUAGAUAGAUACAGAUAAUAGAUAGCUAUUAGAUAAAUAGAUGAUAGAUAGAUAGAUAGAUAGAUAGAUAGAUAGAUAGAUAGAUACAGAUAAUAUAUAGCUAUUAGAUAAAUAGAUAAUAGAGAAAGAUAUGAUUUUUAUUUUGCACAUAGGACUUUAGGUGCACAAAAUAAGGUAAUUACAGAUCUGGCACCACCUUUAGGACCGUGUUGAGCAGCAAUAUCUAUGGCUGCCUCUCCCUAUAUAUCUUUUCCUGUCUGAUAAUGCUGUAAGUUGUUCUGCAGUCUUACCUCCCACGUGAAAUCCUUGGUAACAAUUUACCAUAUCACAGUGGGCUUUGUUAUUUAAUAAACUUUUUUUUUUAGAACAGUUUAAUCUGUAAGUAUUAUACUAUAAUAUAGUGGAGAUGAAGGUUUUAGUUUAGCAUUGUGAAGCCAGCUUACCAUAGAUGAAAAUAUGUAUCAUUUCGGAGAUGUAUGAUUUUAUUCUUAAUUUCUUUAAAUUUAUUGCUCAUGAUUAGUGGGACAGGUGUGAACAAAAGAGAAUCAAUAA